AGCUUUGCGCAGUGGCAGUAUCGUAGCCAAUGAGGUUUAUCCGAGGCGCGAUUAUUGCUAAUUGAUACACACGGAAUCAUAUCAUUUAUUCAAUACCUACCACGUUAGGUUUUAAUCCAAGUGUUGUCUACCUUUCCUAUGA
rfam:Canis lupus familiaris chromosome 31, whole genome shotgun sequence.